UUUGUUGCACGGAACCUGCAGACUGGAAAAGGAUAAAUUUACUGCAAGGGCUUCAAACAUGAAAAACGAUGUUGAACAGGCAAGGGCAUCAAACAUGGAAGACGAUGAGUCAAGUGCUCCAAACAAGGGAAAAGUUAUUGAUGUAGGAAGUGAUUCAGACAUUGAUAAGGAUAUUAACAACUUAAGUGCUUCAAACAAAGGAAAGGAUACAGCAAGUACCUCAAGUAUUUCAAACCCGGAACUCAAAAUUGAGAUGACUAGCAGGAUUUUGGAACAGCUGCAUAACCGAACGGUGGAGCAGAGAACACAGACAGCAGAGGAGGUCAGCAUCACCAUCGAUUUCCUUUCUCCAGAAGCAGUGGUCUACCGCCACAUCAACACCCAUCUUCCCCGAUCUCUUCAUCUCCGUUAGCUCUGAAGCUUCCUCCAGCAGUGGCCACCACACGGCAGCCCCUACAGAACCAAAAUGAGAUAAAUCUGAAAGAGAAAGAAAGACUCGAACUUGUGUAGCAGAUCUGGACCGAGAUCCAGCCGCCAUCAGCGCUGGCGAUGCCCAACAACCAGAUGUGCUACAGGGAUGAACUCUCGGGCAACAAACAGUGACAGACUCGAAAGAAGCCAAUCUAAAGGAGGAGGAGAAAAAAACGCAGAUCUGUGAAAAAAAGACAAUAAUCGAAACUCAAUUAAGAAGAAAUCAUCGCACAAACAAUCUCCCGGACCGGUUGUUGAUUUGGAUCCUUUCCCAAUUGAGGAUGGAAGACUACGGGAAAGAGGAGAUUGGUUGGGGUGGGGAAUGAAGCUGUGAUUUGGGAUCGGUUCAAGAGGUAAGAAUCUAUACAAUAACAGUAACAACAAGAAGAACUUUUCAACCCAGCCAUGGAGGGGAAAGCUUUCUCUCAAAAAACCCAGCCACCGUUCCAGACAAACUUAAUUCCUUCUCACAAACACAAAAAUGAACUUGACCUUACAUACAAGCCAUAUUACCCCCAGCCUCAGCUACCAUCCAUCACCUUAAACACUCAGACUUAACAAACUACCGUGAUUUUCAACUACAAUGUUACUUUGAAAACUUCCCAAGUUGGGUCGAUUACCAUAAGCUAAAGACUGUUUCAGAAAACAGGGAAAGUUAUUAAGCUGUUUGUUUCUCGAAAAACAAAUCAAGCAGGAAAGCAUUUUGGCUUCGUCACCAUCCUCUCGAAUCUGUCAGACAAAACUCUGCUAGAAUGCUUAAAUGACAUAUGGUUUGAUUCCUAAAGCUGAGAGUUAAUGUGGCUAAGCACAGAAGAAAAGAUGAAGUGACGAAACAGAAAAUAAUGGGAACAGGGAAACAAAUACCCAAGCUCAACAACAAAGCCAAGGCCCCCAUCCGUGUAAGAGACAACCGAAGCUAUCUUGAGGCAGUAAGAUCAGGGAGUCAAGUGCAUCAAGCGUCUGAUAAUGCCACACCACGUCCUCAUAACUUCAUUUCUUUCAACACUACAGAUGAGGAAAUUCUAUGGUUAAGAAAUAGUCUUAUAGGCAAGAUAUCUCAGGGAGUAGAUUAUGCACAAAUCAGACAUGGAUUAAUUCAGCUAGGCAUUUGCUUCUCUGCUUCCGUUUCCUGGGGGAUCCAGGCAAUCAUAAGCUUUGAUGGUGAGAAAUCUAUGCAACAAGCCAUGCAGAAAGGUAUGGAAUGCUGGAGGCUCUACUUUGAUGAAGUUCACCCGUGGACGGAAGAAGAUGUGACAGAGAGUCGUCUAGCAUGGAUCUCUAUCUCUCAUUUGCCUAUCUCUGGCUGGAGUUUGAGAUGUAUCUCAAACCUUCUCAUGAACCAUGGACGGGUGAUAGGUUUUGACAAAACCAGCCUAAAAAUCUCUGAACUUCACAGUGUGAAAAUCCUUAUAGGUACUCACUUGCCGGAGAUCCACGACUCUAUAGCUCUCAUGCUAAACUCCAAGUUAGUACACAUACAGCUGGAUGAGAUUGACCUUUAAGAUAUCCAGAGGCAAAAGGAAUUUCAUACUCGAUGGCAGAAUUUCAAACCAUAUUACUUCAGGGAGAUAGUGCUGACAGUGACUCAGAUGAUGAAGUGUACACUAAUCUGGCUUUUGACUUGGCAGGAGAUGACAACAUUUGCAGGCUGGUAUCGCUGAUAAGAAUUGUGGAGCUGAUGACAAGGCACACACUGAGAGGUAAGGAAGCACAACCCACAUGGGACAUAUGAGGUCUACGAUCAUAGCUUUGCGGCCACAAUAAAUGCAUUGACAACACAGAACGGCUACAUAUCGUUGUUGAAGAUCUCUUUCCAGAAAUAGCUGCUCCUAGGACUCCCCACCACUUUCUCUACCAACAAGCUUUCCCAAAAUCAACUCCAACCAGACGGGGCCUUGUCUUAUACGAUGUGAAUUCAGCAAGCCCACUAGAGCAUCCAAGCAUGGCUUUCAAAAGAGACUCCUUCUCGCCACAACCUUAUACCCCUGUUAGCAGUGAUGAUUCUUUAGAAUCCCACUCAAAAUCCAAAGCCUGCCUCUUACAUCAACCAACAGACCCCAACAGCCAAACAACCAAGACUAAAGAAAAUAUCCUCUACUGGGAGUCUCCUCUCCUUGCACUCUUCAGCAAGCAUAUCUUCUAUAGACUCUUACAUCAGGGUGAAUAAUACCCGUAACCUGAAAGAAUAUGCAGCGGAGUCGUCCACAAUGAAGUCAACAAAAUGAUCCAUUUGGGAGAAGCUUUGGGUCUUGGUAAUUCAGCUCUCUUGAAAAUUUUCUGGGUCUUAUCAUAAGACAGCUAGAAAAGGAAGGAAGAUUGGCAGAAACAACAAUGAAUAGUAAGUUUUCAUCCCUGCAGAUAGGCCUUUUAAUUCUGUCAUGAAUAUUCUUUCUUGGAAUUCAUGUGGCUUGGGCAUGAUGAGGAAACGAAGAAGAAUCACGAAAUUAAUAACAGAAUAUAAGAUUGAUAUAUGUUUCAUGCUGGAAACUAAGCUAGCUAAUUGUUCCAUUGGUUUUGUAUCUCGUAUUUGGAAUGAAAAUCAUGUGAGUUGGUUUAGUAAUGAUGCUCAAGGAUCAAAAGGAGGUCUGGUUGCUAUGUGGAAAAACACUAACUUUGAAGUCUCUAAUAUUGAAUAUAGUCAUGGUUGGAUCGGUUUGUAUGGUAAACAUGUUCACAGUGAUUUUCAUUGCUUUGUUAUUGGCAUCUAUGCUCCUUGUAACUAUCAGGACAGACAAAAACUUUGGGAUGAUCUCAUUCUUCUAAAGCAUGUUUUUGAAGUUCCAUGGAUAAUAGCAGGAGAUUUUAAUGAAACACUCUCUUAGAAAGACAGAAACAGUGGAAUUUGUCAUCCUGCAGGCUCAAAUUCUUUUAGCAGAUUUCUAUAGUCUUGUGAGCUCACUGAAUACCCUUUAGCAGAAGGUUAUUUUACCUGGUUCAGAGGAAGGUCCAAGAGCAAACUGGAUCGUAUGUUCGCAAGCUCAUCCUACCAUCUUCACUUCCCCAGUUUAUCUCUUCGACGACUUCCAAGAGAGUUCUCGGAUCAUUGCCCUUUAAUUCUAUCUAGCUUCUUACAAGACCAUGGAUGACGUCCUUUUUGUUUCUUGGACCGUUGGACUCAAUACCCAAAUUUCAAGCACAUUAUUGAAAGCUUCUGGAAUGAUGCAUGCUCCCUUCACCCUGGCCGCUUUAAAUUUCUCAAAAAGCUUAAUCAUAUUGCAGUCAAAUUGAGGCAAUGGAAUAAGCUUGUAUUUGGAAAUCAAGAAGCUGGCCUUCAACGAACCCUUUCAGCUAUCAACAUACUAGAGGAAAAAUGUGAAGAAGAAGGUUUAACCGACCAAGAGCAGGAGCAUUUAGACUUUUUGUUGAAAGACCGCUGGGUUCGCAACAAUCACAUUGAAUCUAUUUGGAGGCAGAAAUCAAGACAUAUAUGGUGCAAAUUGGGUGACAGAAAUAACAAGUUUUUUCACAUGAUUGCCAAUUUCAGGAAGGCUAAAUCAUCAAUACUUAAAAUCCACCAUAAUGGCAACACUUUUGACUCUCAGCAGGGAAUUAAGCAGGCUGCUGUGGAUUAUUUCUCUGAGUUGUAUGACUCCCCCUCUAGUAAAAAGCCGCAAUUAAAUCCUUUGGGUUUCAAAUGUCUCUCUAAAGAAUCCUCUGAAUGGUUGGAGCAAGAAAUCACAAUGGAAGAAGUGAAGCGCGGUGUAUGGGGUUGUGAUGGGUCAAAAUGUCCUGGACCAGAUGGUUUCAACUUCAAAUUCUACAGAUUAGCAUGGGAUUUUAUUGCUCAAGACAUUCUAGAUAUAGUCUUAAGCUUCUUCAGAACAGGAAGGCUUCCCAAAGGAAUCAAUACAACCUAUGUAACUCUCCUCUCCAAGACAGUCGAACCCAUUGAGUUUAAAGAUUUUCGGCCCAUCAGCAUGAUUCAUGGUAUUUAUAAGAUCAUUGCUAAAAUCCUUGCAUCUAGACUGAAAGCUGUUAUGCAAGAUAUCAUUAGCAUUAACCAAUCAGCGUUUAUAGCAGACCGUAACAUUAUAGAUGGCUUUAUGAUUGCAAAUGAGCUGGUGAAUGAUCUAAAAAAGCGAAAAGCGGCAGGUUUGAUUUUCAAGAUUGAUUUUCAUAAAGCUUUCGACUCAGUCUCCUGGGAUUACCUAGAUGAUAUCAUGGGUUAUAUGGGGUUUGGCAGAAAAUGGAGAACCAUGAUUUAUGAAUGUCUUUCUUCAUCAAAACUCUCGGUUUUCAUCAAUGGAUCUCUUUCAAAAGAAUUCUCUGUUCGGCGAGGGCUGCGUCAAGGAGAUCCGAUUUCCCCUUUUCUGUUUGACAUAGCUGCUGAGGGCCUCUCUGUUCUCUUUCAAAGGGCAUCUAGUGGGAAUAUUAUCAAAGGGCUGCAAUUUGCAUCAGGAAUUUUCGUCAGCCAUCUUCAAUAUGCAGAUGACACAUUAAUAUUCAUCCCGGCAGAUAUUGAUCAGUUAGUUCAAGUCAAAAGAAUUUUAAGAUGGUUUGCUCUGUCUUCAGGCCUUCAUAUAAACUUCCAUAAAAGCUCCAUUAUUGGUAUCAAUGUCGAUGAUCACUUGUGCUUGCGCUUGGCUACAUCUAUUUUUCUGCAGAUCAGACUCCCUCCCAAGCAAAUAUCUUGGCAUGCCAUUAGGAGCCAAUCCAUCUCGUAUCUCACAUGGAAGCCAGUGAUAGAGAAGUUUCGUAAAAGGCUUCAUAUAUGGAAGGGGAGACUACUAGCAUGGCUGGUCGUCUAUGUCUCAUUAAAAGUGUCCUUAAUUCCCUGCCUAUAUAUUUUAUGUCUGUAUUCAAGAUGCCAAAAGGGGUAGGCAGGCUUCUUUCAUCCAUCCAAAGACGUUUCUUGUGGUGUGGAUGUACCAAGCAAAGAUCUUUCUGCAAGAUCCAAUGGAGAAUAGUGAUGCGCGAUAAGAAACAAGGAGGCCUCGGUGUAGGCUCCCUUAUAUCAAAAAACAGAGCCCUGCUUCUAAAAUGGAUUUGGAGACUCUCUUCCCAGGUACAAGCUUAUGGAAAAUGAUUAUCUCUUCAAUGUACAAUCCAUCUUAUGAGAAUGGGAUCCCAAUUUUCUACAACCAACCAUCCAAGAUAUGGAAGGAUAUUAUGUCCAUUGUUCAAACCGACGUUCAUCAAGUCUUCACGAAUCAUUGCAAAUUCAUGGUGGGGAAUGGCAAUUUAACAUCCUUUUGGCUAGACAGCUGGAUUGGUGACGACCCUCUCAAAACAGCCUUCCCAAGGCUAUAUCUUUUGUCUUCCUCUAAAUCUGCUUUGGUGGCUGACAUGGGUAGAUGGAGCAAUGGAAUCUGGCUCUGGUCCCUACAAUGGCGCAGACCUCUUUUUCAUUUUGAACAAGAACAACUAUCACUUUUAUCAUCCUUGUUAGAAUCCAAGCCAAUGUUCUGCCACAAGAUGGAUAAGAAAAUCUGGACCCUCAACAACGAUGGCCUCUUCAGUGUAAAAUCUUGCUCCAAAUUGAUGGACCAGUUACUCUACGGUGGAGCCAAACCAUUCCAAUCUUCUGUUUGGAUAAAACUAACCCCACCAAAAGUGCAGCUUUUCCUUUGGCUCCUUGUCCAAGAUAAAGUAACCACAAGAGAUUUCCUAUUUCAACGCGACUACCUCUCCCUUCAGGAGUCAAGAUGUGCUUUCUGCAAUAAAAGCUUGGAAUCUUCAAGUCACCUCUUCAUUCACUGCCACUUCUCUUGGAAUAUAUGGAUGAAACUGCUUUCUAAUCGGGGCUUUUGCAGUGUUUUUCCAAAAUCUGUUGAUGAUAUGUGCUACCAAUGGUCUUCUAUGGUUAAAGGCAAGCAACAAAAUCUCUCAUGGCAACUUCUUUUCUCAUGCGUUGUUUGGAAUCUUUGGCUUCAUCGAAAUGAUGUUAUUUUUAAUGACGCUGCCCCUAACCUUCAAAUCUGUUUCUCCAUGGUGCGCCAAAGUAUUGCUUUAUGGCUGAGGCUUGACUCCAACUCUUUCGAGCUUAAUAUAGAGAAUGUUUAGUCGGGAGGAGUUGGUUUCUUUUGAUUUAUCUGUUCUCUUUUUGUUGCUAUCAACCUGUUUCAUGCAACAGUUUUUGUGCUUCCCUUUCCUCUGUUUGUUCUUCUGAUGUAAGUUAGGCUACUAUCUUUGUAGCUUUUUCCUUUCAAUAAAAUUUCGACUAUUAACAAAAAAAAAAAAGAUGGAAGGGAUGGCCUCUCAACAGGACCGGGCUGAUUGCUGUAAAUACAGGGUGCCCAAAUCGCUUCGAGGCGUAAAUUGGAAAGCCUACACUCCACUACUGAUUUCAAUAGGUCCUCUUCACCGCGAGACUAAAAGAAUAGAGGCCAUGCAAAAUCAUAAAUGGAGAUGUUUCAAAGAGUUUACUGAACAGGAUGGGAUGAAUGAGCAGAAAAUUAGGGAUCUUGUGAUCAGCAUUCAGAAUAAAGAAAAGUAUAUCCGAAUCUGCUAUUCAGAGAAAUUCAACAGAAUCAGUAGCUGUGAUUUCAUAGAGAUGAUCUUGCUGGAUGCUGUUUUCAUCAUCAAGUUUUUGAAUGAGUAUCAACAGCCUAAUCAUUUUGAGCCCAGGAUGAUGUUUGACAUACGAGAAGACUUGAUUCUACUUGAAAACCAACUACCUUUCUCCAUCAUUCGGGAUAUAUAUCAAGAGAUCAAUCGUGAUCUCCAAGAUGCAACAUGGGAAUCUUUUCUUGAUCUUGUUACCUAUGUUUUUGGAAAGCACACAGGCGAUAUUGCUACGUUUCAUUUUGAAAAGCACAAGUUUUCACAAGUGGAAGAAACCAGACAGAUUGUAAAGGGAAGCAAGCAUUUCACUGAUUUACUAAGGAGUUUUAUGCUGAAGGGAUCCAUUGAACGAACUUAUAGUUUUAAUCCUAUCAAGCUUAAAUAUAGUGCGGUCAUGCUUCGCAAGGCAGGAGUGAAGUUUCAGGUCACCCAAGACAAAUGCUUGGUCAACAUAAAAUUUGAGAAAGGAGUGUUGAAAAUACCACGCUUGGAAGUUGAUCACAGCUUCGAACGUCUUGUACGAAAUAUCAUGGCCUUGGAGCAGUGCUGCUACCAGCGAGAAGCUUACGUAUGCAGUUACAUUAAGUUUAUGGAUCAUCUUAUCGACAGUGCAGAAGACGUGGGUUUGCUAGUCCGAAAGGGAAUCAUUCUCCACUGGCUAGGUGACGAUGCCGCAGUUUCAAAUGUGAUUAACAAUUUUUGCGAAAAUAUUGGUAACAAUUACACUUGUUUUGGUGAUAUCUCUCAAGAGAUAAAUUCCCACUAUGAGAGCCGCUUUAACCAUACGAAAGCAACCUUGAAACUUGUAUAUUUCGCCAAUAUUUGGAGAGGUACGGCAACUGUUGCAGCAGCUAUCCUGCUCAUCCUCACUUUCAUACAGACUAUAAGUUCCGUAAAAUCGUUAUAAUGAUUUUAUCUUGCUUAGUUUCAUUGCUCCUACGUAAUAAUGGAUUGGAUUGUUAUUGUUAAUUUCCUUUGAAAAAUGUUUUUAAAUUGUGAGUUUGUGUUGUUCUGAACCAAUAAUAUGAUGGUAAUACAUUAGAUAUUAUUGAUGAAAGCUAGCAAUUUAGACUACAAGUUUUAUCCAUGAUCUAAGCUCAAUAUUACCAAACAAAUUAAAUUUAUUGGGUGUCAGCCCAUAUUAAAUUAAAAACACAAUCUAAAUACAUUUCAUGGUUCUUACUUGUAGAAAACAAAUUAACUAAGGAUAUUUUAAGUAAUUUUCAUUUUAAUUUUUCAAAGAUAUCCUUUAAAUUAGGGGCAUUUGAGAUAAAUUGCACAUAACUUGUCUAUAAAUCAAGGUUGUCAAUUUCAUUCCGUUCCGUCCGGAAUGGCCGAAACAUUUCAUACCAAUUCAAAAAACGAAACAAAACGGAAUAAAUUUCAUCUCAUUUUAAAUCUCGGCCCGUUCCGGAUUUUUCGGCCAAAUUCCGGCCGAAACGUUCCGGUUUCAUUCCGGUUGUUCCGUUUCGGCCAAAAAAUAUUAUUUUUAAAAAAUUAAUAUAUAGUUUAUAUUAUUUUAAGUUAAAGAUCUAUUUAAUCUUUACUAUUUAAAAAUAUUUUAAAUUUUAAAAUUAUAUUUGUUUGUCAUUAUGUUUGUAUUGUAUAAUUUAUAAUUAAUUUAUCUUGAAUUUGAAUUAUGUUUGUGGAAUAUAUAUAUAUAUAUAUGAACAAUACAACCCCGAAACGGCACGCCGAAACACUCCGAAACUGAAACAUUUCGUUCCAAUUGAAAAAACGAAACACCUACCGAAACGGAAUUGACAACCUUGCUAUAAAUAGACAACAAAGUCACCAAAUCAAAGACAAAAGCAUAAAAGCAUAGAUGACAAGCAAAAAAGACACAUAAAAGAAAACAAGAAGAAGCAGAAGACAGAAGGACAACAAAUACAUACUAAAGAUCAAAUACAAAUAUUUGAGUUAUCUCAAAGAAAUUCAAGUCUAUUAAAGAGAUAAAGGAUCAAAGUCAUUAUAUUCAUCAAAUCAAAUCAAGUUAAGAUCUCACACGGUUAUGAAAAUGUUUUCUGAGAAUUGUGUCCAUCAGAUAUUUCUUUAAAUGAAGGAGCUGAAAAAAUCUAUCAAAUAAAGAGAUGUUUAGAUCACCAUGGUGAUGGACCAACUAAAAAAAUAAAAUCCACAAACUGAAAGCACCCAAAGGAUCAUAGAUCCAUCUUGAAAGAAUACUCAUCAAGAUCCUUUAUAAAGCUAAUAUUCUCCUAAAAAGCAACCAAAACAAGAGCAACAUGAUCGAACAAUAGUAUAAAAUGCUUUAAGGGACAUUAUUGGAUCAUCAUUGGGCUCACUUACUCCGUAAUAACUAUUGUAUAUGAUUGUUGAUACUAUUCAUUCUUAAGUCAUAUUCUAAGCAUAUCAAUGAAAUGAGGAUGCCACCAAACUAUCAACCUUUAAAGUUCCAACAAUUUAAAAGUAAAGGUAAUUCAAAGCAAUAUAUUGCUUAUUUUAUGGAGACUUGUAAUAAUAAAGGAACCUAAGGAGACUUACUGGUGAAGAAAUUCAUCUAGUCCCUAGAAGCAAAAGAUUAGUAUAUUUAAAAGUCUAUUGUUAUUUACAAUCAAAAUGAAAAGUUAAUAAAUCCAAUUUAUUUAUGACUUUAUCUAAAUCCAAUUUAUUUUAUUUACAACGUCUUAAUCUACCAAAUUACAAUAAAAAAUGAGAUAUAAAAAGUUUAACUGUAGAUUGUUUUUUAUUAUAUCAUAUAUUUAUAUAUAUCUUAUAAAUAUACAUAUAAUAUAAGUAUUUUAAAUAUAAUAUUAUAGACAUAUAAUCUUGUUAAAUAUUUUUGAAAUAAAUUUCAUUUUUAAAACCUUAAAAUAUAUAUUUUUUUAAAAUUAAUGCCAAAUUAGUUAGUGGUGUUAACUAAGAGUUUAUUUUGUAUGAGGUUGUGGAAAGAGAGAUUUGUGGAAGGCGUAUUUAUAAGAAGUUUAUUUUAUGUGUUAAAAAAAGUGUUUUCUAGAAUUAAAAAAAAAAAAAACACUUUUCUAGUGGUUGGAAACUAGUUUCUAUAUUUUAUCAAACAUCAGGAAACUUGGAAAACUACUUUUUAGGAAAAGUGAUCACAAACAAGGCAUACUUCUUCAUGAUCACAUCAAUUUUAAGCCAAACGAGCACUGACGGUGAUAAUUUUAAAUCUUAAGAAGAAAUUAAGAUGGGUUAUUUUAAGAUUUUGAAUUUUUUUUAUUAAAAUGUAGGAAAUUAAGUUGCCAGGCGGGCCGGGAAGAGGAAUUGAUCAAAGCCGUGUAUCAAAUUGCGCGCAAUUAGCUAUAUAUUUGAGAUAAAUGUUGAACGCAGCUAGUCAACUUGUAUGUUCAUAUACUGUAAUAUUAUAUAUAUAAGUUUGAAGUAAAAAAACUAAAGAUUAAUCCAUGUCUAUAUCCUUGUCUUCUAAGGGGUGUGUUCUUACGAUAUGAACAAAUACACUAGCACGAUUAUUAGUGAAUUUAGCUUGUCUUCUGCAAAUACCAUGAAUUAAGCAACUCGCUUCAAUGCAAGGCACAAGAAUAGAUUUUAUUUUCCAGUCUCUUGACUUCUCUGGGGAAGCUUGAAGAUCACAAGUCAUGAUUCAAGCGAGCAAGAACUGCGAGGUACGUACGAGAAUUCAAACCAUAUUUGCUAGGAAAAAAAAGAAUUCAAACAACAUUAAUUAAGUAGACUUCACCACGAAGAUAUGUAGCUAUCUCUUUUCUACAGUCAAGAUAAGUUCCUUUAGCUUUUAAAAGUAAGCCUGGGGAGAGGCUUUACAUGUGUUCUCACUCAAGUUGGCUUUACUGCUGUAGCUCACAGCAUCUGCGAGCUAACGUUUGCACGAUAAGGUAACAUUUUAAUAUUAUAAUGAUUAAAAAAAGAGAGAGAAAACAUUAUAAUAUCAUAGCCAUGUCUACCAGUAUUAAAUUAAGAGAAAAGGUUAAGUAUUUAUUGGUGGUUCUAUCAACGCAUAAAUGCUGCAUGAUGGACCAACUUAACUGCAUUUUUUUUUCGAGUACAAAUAACUGAUAAACUUAAGAAAAAUAUGUUUAAAUUUAUAAAUUUCAUAUGAAAAAUAUUUUUAAUUUAUAAAGUUUAUCAGUUAUUUGUACUCGAAAAACUACGGCAAAAGGCGGUAGCAGCUGAAAUCAAGAAGGAAAGUCUAGAAAUAAAAAAAUCAGAAUUACAGUUGGCAAACAUAGUAUCAUUCAGAAUUGAAAUUUCAGCUGCAACCUCAGUUUUAAAAAAUCAUGAAAGAUAAUAUUUAUAUGAAUUAUUUAUUAAUUUUUAUAUAAAAUAUUAAAACUCCAAAUAUUUGUUUUUUAAUUUUUUCAGGUUGACUCUGUAACCCAAAACUUAAAUAUUUGUCUUUCAAGUUAGUGAGUUGAUUGAACCAUGUCGAGUUGCUCAUUCGAUUGACUUGGAAGAAAAUUCAAAUUUUCGUGUUUUCGAUGAUAGUCUUGUUGAUGUUGACGCAGAGGAGUUGAAUGUUGUUCUUAAUAAAGAUGAUGAUGAUGAUAUCCAUAUUGAAGAUUGCGAUAAAGUUGAUGACUGUUGAAUUGACUAUGAAGAAGAAGAAAAUUCUGAGUAACUAUCAGAAUCAAGGAAAGUGAAAAACAUCUUUUUAUAAUGUAAUAUUAUGGAUGAUAUUCUGUAACAUGAAAUAUUGAUUUUAUAAUUGUUAAUUGAUGUUAUUGUUUUGUGCCGGUAGUUUGGAAUUUAAGUGUUUGCAGGAGGGUAAAUAGACAAUACAAACAUAUUCUUUCAUGCACAGUGCACGAUCACCGUGUCUCUAUAGGCGGAAAACAUCUGUCGCUAUUUUAUUGAGAGUUGUAAAAUAUUUACUGGAAAUGCCACAAUCACCAACAUCUAUACCAACGAAUACUAUAUCCAUCGACAUUUUACAGUGAGUUGAAAAAUAUUUACUAGAAAUGCCAUAAUCACCGACAUCUCUACAAACGAAAAUAUUCCAUCGGUAUUUUAUCAAGAGUUCAACAAUAUUUACUGGAAAUCCAUAAUCAUAGUCGUGUAUGCCGACAGAUACAUUCUGUCGGCAUCUGUCUGCAUUUGGCGACAAUUCACAAUUACAUACAGACUUACUGAUGGAUGGUGCGAAUUUCAAAGUGCAGGUAUUAAUACACCUCUAACCACGUGCACUUGCCGACAAAAAUAAACCACGACUGCGAAAAUUAUGGAGGGUAAUUAAAAAAAUUUAGUGUGAAAUUCAAAAUUUACCGAUGGAUUUUUGAAAAGUCACGAACGAAAUAAUUUUAAAUAAUAUUAUUUUAAUAUUCUGUCGGUAAAUCCGUCUGUAAAAUUGCGCUAUCAAUCCCAGCGACCGCCUCUUUAGUUCAUUUUUCCUCUACUUUGUUUUAGAGUUCUCUCGUUUUUGUUUUUUUCCUCUCAUUUGCUGCUAAAUUUUUGUUUUUUUCCUUGUAAUCUCUAGUUCAAUCUUCAACAAAUUAUAAGGUAUGUAUUUCCAUUUAAUAUGCUUAAUGAUUUUAUUUUAUUUCUUUGUUUUAGUUAUUGUUAUUUUUGUUGUGUUUUUUGUUUUGGUGUAUCUUUAUAAUGUAGAUAAAGUCUUGAAAUAAACCAUUAUUCAGGUAAGCAUUUUUCAUUCCUAAAGUCUAUAGAUUUUUUUUUAUUAUUGUUCAAUAUAUUCUAUUGUUUGUAUUGCCAUAAUAAUGGAAUACUUUCUUGAAUUUUAAUUGUUAUUGUUGAAUUUACCUUGUAAUUAGUAAUUGAAUAUAUAUAUAUGAAUAAAUUUAAUUAUUUUAAUUCAAUUUUACUUAUUAUUGCAUGAUAUGUGUUUAAUUAUUUCCAUUUAUUUUAAUUGUUAUUUGUAUAGAUGUUAGGUUAUAUAUAAGAUUUUUAACUUUUCAAGAGAUAAUGAGUGUGUGAUAGAACUUACAUGUGUUCUGAACCACAUGGCAAAUUGUUGAUCUUGUAAUUAAAAGAUUUGAGAUUCAGUCAGCUGUGAGUUAUUGGACAAUAAAUAUUGUUGAUGUUGCCUACAAGGUUGUUCCAAAUUAUAUAAGUGUAUGAUAUUACAUUAUAUAAAGAGUACAUUCUUAACAAAGUUUAAUUAGUAGUAUAUAUAUACUUAUUGAAUAAAAAAGUUUCAGCUCAUCACAGUUAAAUAGAACAUAAUUGUGUGUUUGUUUGAACUCUAGUUUAGACAAAUAUUUUCCCCUUACGGUAUUUUUAGGUGUAGGUCGUCCAAGAUUUGAGAAUAUUGACAAGUUUCCACUGGAAGGCACACCACCACCAUCAUCAUGCCGUGGAACAUGAUUGAUUCUUAUUCUCAAAUGAGGUUCGAAAUAGUAUGAGAUAAAUGUUGAGAUGUCCUCAACAAUAUAGGCCUCAUAUAUCAAAGCCUCAAAAUGCGCCUUGUUCUUAACCUUUUUUCUUAAGAUUGAACAAGUACUUGCAUUGAAUUAAUAAAAUAUUUUCAAUUAAGAAAAAAAAAGAAAAUAUUUUUAUAUAUGAAUUACCUGUAAUAUCUAACCAUUCAAAUGCAUACAUCCAUCUAUACUAGAUCGGUUCUCCAACUUUUGCCUCAAAUGGUAAAUGUAUGGGGAGAUGCUCCAUUGAGUCAAAAAAAUGAUGGAGGGAAUAUCAUCUCAAGUUUGUAUAGUGUCUCGAUGAUAUUUGUUUCAAGCCUCUCAAUGUGAUCAACAUUCAACUUAUUGAAGCAUAUAUAUCUAAAGAAAGGACUGACCUCCGUGAGUGCAUCCCAUAUAUCUUUUGGUAACAAAUCACGAUAAGCUAAUGGAAUGCGUGUUUGCAUAAACAUGUGGCAGUUAUGACUCUUCAUUCCAUAUAAUUUGUAUUCCUCUAUAUUAACCAACCUUGAUAUGCUCAAGACAUAUCCAUCAGGAAAACGCAGACUCUUAAGCCAUUUAUAGACUAGUAGUUGUAUAUUUUUCUCUAAUACGAAGCUUGCUCUUGGUUUUGCAACCCGUGACCCAUCACAAACCAACUCCAUAUUUUUAUGAUUAUAGAACAAAGCUAUAUCAAAUCUAGCCUUGAUGUUGUCCUUUGUCUUCCCCUUCACAUCCAUGAUGGUGUUGAAAAUGUUCUCAAACACGUUCUUUUCUAUGUGCAUGACUUCAAGGUUAUGGCGGAGGAGAUUGGUCUUCCAAUAAGGAAGCUUCCAAAAAAUACUUUGCUUUACCUAAUUGUGGGUCAAACCAAAACCAGAAACAACGAUGAUAGUAAAAAAAAGAAGCUUUACCUCUGUUUGUUAGCGUGAAUGCCUUGUUUUUUCCAUGCAGUAUGGACAUGCUAGUUUUCCAUGAGUGCUCCAACCAAAAACCAUUCCAUAAGAUGGAAAAUCAUUGAUAGUCCACACUUCAGAGUUGAAAAGCCGCCCUCAUAAAAAAAUUAUAUUUCCUCGAUAUAUCAUAAGUCAAAGCUCUGAAGGACCACAACUGCGUCAACUUAUCAAUCAAUGGUCGAAGAAAAACAUCUAUAUCCUGGCCCGGGCUGCUCGAACCGGGUAUGACAGUAGAUAAAAACAUGAACUCUGGCCUAAUACAUAUCCUUGGUGGCAAGUUAUAAAUUGGAAGUAUGACCGACCAACAAGAAUAAGGGGCAGCAAAUGACCUCAAUGGGUUGAAUCCGUCUGUACACAAUCCAAGAUGCACAUUUCUUAAUUCAGCUGAAAAGUAAGGAUGCAUACUGUUAAAGUGUUUCCAUGCUUCGUCGUCAGAAGGAUGCACCAUCACUUCAUCAACCGUAUCAUGUGAUUGGUGUCAUGUCAUGUGCUUAGUAGUCCUUGGUGACGUGAAUAACCUCUACAGUCUAGGUGUGAUUGAGAAGUAUCUAAGUUUUUUAUACGCCAUGAGAGUCUUUUCCCUGCCAGUUCUAGGCUUGUAACGAGAAUGCUCACAUGUGAUGCACUCGGUCAGCUCACAAUUUUCAAGGUAGUAUAACAUGCAUAAGUUAGGGCACAUGUUAAUUUUCUGGUAUCCCAAAACCGAGGGGUUUCAUCAUGGACUUUGUAGCAUAGAAGUUCUCUUUCAGCUUGUUACCUUUCGGUAAAAUGCUUCUCGCUCAUUCGAUAAUUUUGUCAUAACCGGCCUCAACAAACCCGUGAUCUAACUUGAUGGUGAACACUUGUGCUACGACCGAUAAUUUACUGUGGUUCGUGCAGUCAUCCCAAAAUGGUUCGUUAGAAUCCUUCAACAAAUCAAAAAACCUUGUUGCAUCUGCAUUAGGUUCUUGUUCUAUGAUUGGACAUUGAUUGACAUUACCUUGAUUCAUUCUCAUUGCAUCCAUAACCAUAUUCCUCUAAGGAUUAUUGUCACACGUCACCCGUGCGGCGCCAACUAGUGAUUUUUUCGUUCUUCGUUUGCGUUUGAUUCGUUGGGAAUCACCACCUAGUAUUUCGUUAAGGGCUACUAGGAAACCCAAAUAUACCGGUCUUGUCAGAGAUUCGUGCGUAAGGGACUGAUUGUGAUUAGGGAAGGUAUUAGCACCCCUAACGCACCUUGGCUGAGGUAAGCUGCUUCGUGGCUUUAAGGUGUUAAAGAAGUUUUAAAAUUUUAUCUUUUCAUCAGAUAUUAGAAAUACAACUUACGUAUAAGUUGAUAAUUUUUGACCGUGAGCAAAUCAAAAUAUUAAAUUCUUCUUUUUCUUCGCAAUUUUAUCAUAAAUAAAUAAAAAUUCAUAAAACAAAUGCAAACACACAUACACUUUCACUAUUUUUAUUUUUUUUCUUUUACAUCCACAUUACAAAUUAUAAAAAUUCAAAAUAUAUACAAAAAUUACAUUAAAAAAUUAAAAAAUUACAAAAAAAAAAACAAAGAGCCACUAAAAUAGAAGCAGGAACAGUGCGACCACAGGAACAGUGCUGGAAGGCUUCUUGGGUUGCCAGAAUAGUGGCGGCGUGUCUUUCCCACGCGUCAUCGCCACUAGCAGCAAGUGGGUUCACGCGCCGCCGCUAGAAAGAACUUGGAAAUAGUAGAUCAAGAACGACUUCUUCUUCUUUGUCUUCCUAAAAUGUCGGUGACCUGCAGAACAAGAAAAGAAACGCACACAACAAUCGAUUUUAGUUUUUCUUUCUUUCUUGUUUAUGGAUCGUUUUUUUUCUUCUCCGUUUUAGAUUUGUUUUUCUCUCUACAGAUCCACUAUUCUUUUGGUUUCUCCUUCUCUGUUUCAGACGGCCGGGCGACGAAUGGGUUGUUGUCGACCGCUGUGCAGCUGCUGGUGGUCGAUUCGGUCUGUGAUGGCUACGGUGGAGUUGUGUUGGAGAGGAAGCUGGCGGCUGUUUUGAUGCAGGGGAUGUUUUAGUCUGUUGUGGUUCUGUGUGGAGGAAUUUGGUGAUGGUUGUGGGGUGUUGAUGACCAGGAGAGGGAUGUUGUGGUCAGGUGAAGGGGAUGCAACCGAGAGAGGGAUGAGGGGAAGAUGGAGGUACAGGUUUAAGGGGUUAUGUGGGUAUGGACUAUUGGCUGAGGGAAGAAUGGUUGAUGGAGGAGUGAUGGAAACGGUCUCGGUGAAGGGAAAGAGAGAGGGUUGGUGGCGACUGCUUUGGCUGGUUCUCUGUGGUGGCUGAGAGGUGAGGGACGAUGGGUAUUGGUCAGUGGCUAGGAAGAGUGGGGUUCUGUGUUGUGGCCUCAAAGGAAAAGGGGGACGGCCGGUCUCUGUUGAACAGCGAAGAGAGGCUAACUGAGAUGAAAAAGAAAAUGUGAGAUCGCCAAGGAAGAAGCAAAUCCCGAACCAGUGGGGGGGGCGCGACUGGCCUUGUUAUUUUCGCCAAAUGGGGGCGCCGGCUUGGGUCAAGAGAUAGGUUUUUUAGGGUUAGGUUUUUUUGUAUUAUCUCUCCAAUGCGCAAAAUUGCCCCCUCCAUCUUGAGUGUGUUGAGGAGACCAGUAUUUAUAGGUAAAAAUGUUGCUAGGUUUUCAAACUUGGUCCCUCAACUUCUUUCUUUUUCAUGUAAAUUGGAUUUUUCUUGUUUUUUUGGAUUUUUCAAUAUCAACAUCGACUCGAAAUGAGGAAAAUCGGCAAUUUGAAAAAUAACGCGUUCUAAAAACCUUUGAAAAUUUAAAUUCUUUUGAGACGAUGCUAAAAAUUCUAAAAAUGAUGCAAAUAUAUUAAAAAAAUGUAUUUUUUGGAUUUUUUUUUUUUGUUUUCUCUAUUUUUGGAUUUUUCUGAAAAUUUAUCAAAAUAUAGGUAAAAAAUUGGGUAGCAACAAUUAUUAUUGUCAUUUUCAACUCCAUGCACGUUGCUAGCACUAAAAAUUGACCCAACUACCCUUUCUUCCAUGAUCUCAUUACGAACAACUAGUUCUCUGUGUGCAUGCCAACACAAGUAAUCCUCCAUGAACUCCUUGUGUAAAAGAUGCAUCAUUACAACAUCUAGAUGCAAAUACUUUUUAUUUUGACAUUUCCUGCAUGGACACCUACUACCGCCUCCAGUAAAAUUUCUGGGAAUAGAUAUUGCGAAAUUAAUAAAACCCUCAACCCCGUUACAAUAAUGUAUCAUCCGCAAUCCUUGUUGUGAAUCUCGAUACAUCCAAGCAUGAUUAUUCAUUACUUCUAUCGAACCUCUAUAAAAUUAUAAUGACAACAUGUAUUAAUUAACUAUGUUAGGUAAAUAAAUUUGGACAAAUAUUGUUUACCUCCACAUUAUCCAACAAACUAAUUAAAACUUCUCAUAAAUAUGCAUUAUCAAUUAUCAACGUCCAUACAAAUUUAUACAUAUAAAUUUACAAAAAUUACAACUCCGCAAUAGCAUUAAUAAAAAUUAAAACGAACCCAUUAAACAAGCUAUUAAUUAUUUCACAACAUUAAAUAUAAUUCGGUAAUUCAACAAAGUUUCAACAAUUUACAAACAAAUAUAAUUUUACAAAUUCUAAAACAAUCCAUAACAAGUACAAAAUUAUACAUUCAUACUACAAGUUUGUUUGAGAAAUAACAAUAAAACAAGUACAUACACUAACAAAAUACAUAUACUAAAAAAAACAAUAAAAUUAACAUUUAAAUGUUAAAAUUAAAAAAAUAUAGAUUUACUUACAAAAAAUGAUAAAAUCCAUAAUAAAUCAGAAUACGGAUGUUGUGACCACGAAACUUAAAAAAAUGACUUGUGCUGAGAAGAGGGGGAUUUUUUUGGGUGGGGUGGUUGUUUUCUAGUUUAGGAGGGGAUAGUUGGGAUGGGGAAGAAGAAGAAAUAGAGGAAGAGAGGGUCGGUAGAGUGGUUAUAUAUUAGCUCUUACCAAUGGAAACACCGAUGAACUCAUUAUGUCGGCGAUUUUGUUGGUAAGUUUGACGGUGAAUUGGUUAGGUCACUGUACAGAGAUCCCGUUUUGAAUCCCUCGAUAAGUAAUGAAGUUAAUUUUAUUUUUAUAAUGUAUUCAUCACUUUAAUUUUAUUGGUCUUUAUACCUAUCAAAUAUAAACAUUCAAAGGAUAUAAGAAACAUUAAAUAAAACGAGGCAUUAUUUAUUCUCCUUUUUCUCAACAUUACAUAAUAUUGAAGUUGGUUCACUAAGCUGUGAGUUAUCAAUAUUUAUUUCAUUUUUUUAUAAAAAAAAUCAAUUCUUCUUAUUUUGUUCAUGGUUCAACCUAAAAUCAAAACAUAUAUCAUGAGGAAAAAAUUGAUAAUUUUGGCGGCUCUGCUAAAAACAAAACAUAAGAAAAAUCCAAGUGUAAUUAAGACAAAUUAACUAAUAAAAUAUAUCUAAUUAAUUAUAUAUAUAAAAAAACAUCACUAUAACAAGAAUUCAAAAAACAUUUGGUAAAACUAGUACAUCCCAGCAAAAAACAAAAAGAAGCAAAAAUAAUAAAAUUAUAAAAAAACCUCAUUAAAUUAUUAACAAACAUAAAAAAAAAAAAAAAAAACAAAUUUUAAGUUUGGGGGUUAGUGAUGCUCAAUUAUGGUAAUUUUGUUUGAUGAAAGAAAAAUUAAUUGACGGAGCUAUGCUUCAAUCUUUCUAUUUGUGAUUUAUGUUCUUAUUUCUAUAUUUUACCUUAUAUAUUAGGGCUGCAGCGAGAGAAAACGGUAAAAUUCAUUCAGCUAAAAAGUUAUUUAUAACUUCAUACUUUUUCUUUCCACGUAGAUAGUUUUAAAGUUAAAAGAUAACAAAUAUAUUUACUGUUAAAAAGGCCCACUUAUUUAAAUAUAUAUUACAUCUUCUCGCACUUAAUCACUAAGCAAUAAAAAGCUAACCUACAUAAUUAGUCAUCAUAUUUUUUCUUUACAAGUGCCGGGCCCUUGCUUGCUUCCCCUUAAUUCCGCCCCUGGUUUGAGGAUUCAACAUUAAAGGGCUAAAAUGAAGAUUUAAUAUUUUUACAGGGAUUAUUAUGUACAAAUAUACUUGAUCUCUUAAAAAUAAUUUUAAAGUUAAGGGACUUUCCUAGAUCCGCCCUUGUCAAACUAGAAUCUAUAUAGCAUAUAGAAUUAAGUCCCUUAAUUAUAGCCAUUGUCUUGUGCAUGUGGGUAGACAAGGCAAGAGACUUCGAGAGAGAGGGGGGAGAGAGAGAGAGCGGUGGUUCGGUGCUUGGACCCUAUAUACAGACACAGUCCUCUGAUCUCCGUCCUCAGGUCAGCACUAACUUGUUCUGUUCUUUGAAAUGUUUAGUUUUUUGAAAUUUUAUGUUUUGGAUUUGGUUUAAGCUCUGCAGACAAUAGGUUGUUCGGUGUAUGUAGUUCCAUUUAUUUUAUAUUAUUAAAGUUGGUUUGCUUAAUUAUGUUUUAGUUUUCCAGCAUAUAUAAAACAUUUGUAAUAAAUUUUGUUGUUAAAGUCAUUAAUUGAACUAUGAGAUAGCUAUAGAGCAAGACUUGAUUAGUGGUGGUCAUCAAGUGAUUAUCGGUAUCAAUACCCAUUGCAGUCACUUUAAUUACCCAUACUAAUUUAUUUAGGAGAACUAGCUACACAUCUAAUAAAAAUGGGAACAGUAUUACAAAAGAAAUAAAACAAAAAAAAAUCAGAUUGUACCCAAACAAGGAACAAUAAGUAUUUAUAUAUAUAUAAAAAAAAACUAGUAGUCAUGUGUUUUAAGUAUUUGCUGAUUAAGUUUCAUCUUGGCAUCUCAAAGUCAUCAAAUGCUUUAUUAAAAGCAUUUUAUAAUUAUUUGCAGUUUUCCAAGCAUAUAAUGUCAAGUUUAUCAUAGAGGAAUGUGUUCUAGUUUAUCUACUAAAAGAGUUCCAUCUUUGUCAGGAAAAUUCACAAACUAAUUCAGAAUAUCCAAAUAAACCUGAUGUGUCGUAAUUGCGCACAAAACACUAGUUAGGUUGUUUUAAAUUUAAUCUUUAUUAUUUUGAAUUAUAAAUCCUCAUUAUAUCGUAAUUAUAUCAAUAAAUUCUCAGCUAAAUUGAUUCAUAUACAACACAUGUCCUAGCAUUUGAUCAAAGCUAGAUAGAUCACCCAAGUAGCUAAUUUUUUUUUUUCUAUAUUUGUUCUCCAUAUAAAACACAUUAAAUAUAUAUUAAAAACUCCUAACAAAUUAGGCUGAACCCCUCUCUUUAUAUGGGCUUAAUGAUCCCACAUGGAUCAAACUAAACAGAAAUAUAUAGGUUAUCUUGCAGAAUUCGAGGAAAACCAGCUAAACAUUUUCUAGCUUGCAUUUUUCUAUAAAUGUCAUGUCUUAAAUUUUGAUGUUAAUGUCACUGAACUUGUUAUUGAAUCGGAGGUUCAACUUGAGAUUACUACUAGUUAAUUUGCCUACUUGUUGCUGCCUUUUUGAAAUUAUUUUAUUGAAUUCUAUGGUAAUUAAAACAAAUAUUCCAAUAAAAUCAAAUGCUUUAAGUUCUUUGAAGAAAACAUCUAUUUCUCUGGUGACAAUUUCUCUAUGAGAAAAAAUGUCAUUUUUAUUAGUAUCGCUCUUUUAUAAAUCAAAACAUAAGUUAAUUAAAAUAAAUAUUAAUAAAAAAUUCAAUGAUUUAAAUGAAUAAGAAAAAAAACAAAUUCCUUUAAUAAAAAAUAUCAUUCCUUAUUCAUUCAUUUUUUUUUUAUGAAAAAAAGACAUUUUCUUUUAUUAUAAGCAUGAGUUUUUGAAAUAAAAAAAAUAACUUUGAAAUAGUUGAUCACCCUUAAAUAGAAGAUUUGAUCUUCAGAAAACAUUUAUUCAAAUUCUAAAACAAUCCUAAAUUCUCUGUUUUUUUUUUAGAUCGUUUUGAUGUGAAGAUAUCAAAAAUAAAUUUUAAUUUUUUUUUUAUUAUUUUGAUGUAUUUUCAAAUAAUAAAAAAUAUUUAAAAAAUUAACUUCUAUUAUUGUUUUAAACACCCUUAAUUAAUGAGCUUAAUUAAAUACUGGUAUGAAUCAAUUUUAUUUGAUAGCGUGAAAUUUGAUUAUAUACAUGAACAAAAUCUAGCUAAUUAUUUAGGCUAUUUAAUGUUAUACCAAGUGAGAAAUAAAGAGAAAAGGAUGAUUUAAAGUGAGAGGGGGUAGAGAAGGAGAAAAUGUGUUAUAGUGAAAAAGUUUUGAAAAAUUGUGAUAUUCAAAACCGAACUGUGUAUACCUUCCAUUCAUUCUUGGUUUGUUUCAGCCAACCUGCAGACUGGAAAAGGAUAAAUUUACCGCAAGUGCUUCAAACAAGGGAAAAGAUUUUGACGUGGGAAGUGCUUCAGACAUUGAGAUGGCUACAAAUCCCGAUUAUUAUAAAGAAAGAGAGAGAGAGAAAGCUACAGAUAUUUGGGCAAAGCUGGAUUAUGAGGUGAAACAGAUGUCCUUUAAACGGAACGGUUCCGAGUGCUGCAUCUACAGGGUGCCCAAACCGCUUCGAAACGUAAAUUGGAAAGCCUACGCUCCACUACUGAUUUCAAUAGGUCCUCUUGACCGCCAAAAUAUAAGACUAGAGGCCAUGGAAAAGGAGAAACUGAAAUAUUUCAAAAAGCUUACUGAACGGGUUGGGAUGGAUAAGAAGAAAAUUAUUGAUAUUUUGAUCAGCAUUGAGAACCAAGAAGAGCGUCUCCGACACUGUUAUUCAGAGAAAUUCAAAUCAAUCGAGAGCCGUGAUUUCGUAGAGAUGAUACUGCUGGAUGCUGUGUUCAUCAUUCAGUUUUUGUUGGAGUCAAAGGAUCAUGAUAUUAACGAUCCUAAGAAUUUUGAACCCAGGAUGACAUUUGACAUCCGACAAGACUUGAUGCUACUUGAAAACCAACUGCCAUUCUUCAUUAUUCAGGAAAUAUAUGACCAGCUCAAUCCCCCCAUUCCUUUUCUUGAUCUUGCCACGUUACAUUUUCGAAAGUACAAGUUUUCACAGGGGCCAGAAACCAGCCCGAUUGUAAAGGGAAGCAGGCAUUUCACUGAUUUACUAAGGAAUUUGAUGUUGAAUGGAGCCAUUACGCAACGUUAUCGUGUUUAUCCUAUGAAGCUGAAAUAUAGUGCGGUCAUGCUUCGCAAGGCAGGAGUGAAGUUUCAGGCCACCCAAGACAAAUGCUUGGUCAACAUAAAAUUUGAGAAAGGAGUGUUGAAAAUACCAGAGUUGGAAGUUGAUCACAGCUUCGAACGUCUUGUACGAAAUAUCAUGGCCUUGGAGCAGUGCUGCUACCAGCGAGAAGCUUACGUAUGCAGUUACAUUAAGUUUAUGGACAAUCUUAUCAACAGUGCAGAAGACGUGGGUUUGCUAGUCCGGAAGGGAAUCAUUCUCAACCGGCUAGGUGACGAUGCUGCAGUUUCAAAUAUAAUUAACCAUUUUUGCGAAAAUAUUGAUGACAGUUACACUUGUUUCGGUGAUAUCUCUCAAGUGAUAAAUGCCCACUAUGAGAGCCGCUUUAACCGUACGAAAGCAACCUUGAAACUUGUAUAUUUCCCCAAUAUUUGGAGAGGUACGGCAACUGUUGCAGCAGCUAUCCUGCUGAUCCUCACUUUGAUACAGACUAUAGCUUCCGUAAAAUCGGCAUUCUAGGAUUUUAUCUUGUUUAGCUUUAUUAUUCCUACGUAAUGAGGAAUUGGGUUUGUGUAGUUCUGAACUAAUAAUAUUGUAAUGGAGUUUGCAAACAUAAUUCAGAUUAACUAUUAGAAAUAAAAUAAAUUUGUAGUGUGAUUUUGAAAAUCAGGUAGAACCAAAAGGAAAUUUCAUUUAAUCUUCCUAUAAUAUAUUGAAAUGGAAAAGAAUGAGGGAUUUGAAUAUAAAAAAUUAAAGAAACAAUAAUUCUGAAAGUAAUAACUUGAUAUGUAGUUAGCUUAAUUCAAGAUUCUAAACAUCCAUUCAUUUAAAUUUGUUGAUCAUCGAAGUAAAAUAAAUAUUAUUUUAUAUAAAAUAAAUAAAUUUGAUAUUUCUUGAAACUAAGGGAAAUCAAUGAGUUUAUUCAACAAAACUCUUUAAUUAAUUUUUAUUUAUCAAAAUGUAUGAAUAUAUUAAAGAUAAAAAAAUAUACAAGAGAACCAACAAAUUCAAUAUCAAAGAUUUAUAUAAAAAAAAAACCAUGCUCCCUAAACGUCCAGCCCAACAAAAAAAUAGAGACAACCAAGCAGAAAAUGAACUUGGGUAGAUUAGGAACCUAAUUAAUAAUAAGGUGCCCUACCUAACCAAAAGCAAAAUAACAGUACCAGCUCACCAAUCUCGAACAAUGGGCCAUGCUGCAUCAAAGUAGGCAUCAAGGGAACCUCAGCACAAACAAAGAACCAGCAGAGAUGUAGCACACCAUUCUAACAUGGAUGAAGCCAGCAGGGGCAUCAAACACAGAGAAACCGCAGCAGAAGAGAAAUAAGACUGAGAAGAACAAAAAAGACAGCAGCAACAACACCAUCCAAACCAAAAAAAGGCCAUCAGCAGUAGCAAAAGAGGAUGAAACAACCCUUUGAAGAUCACACCGAGAAGCAGAUCCUGAGAACUGCCCAAAAGACAAAGGAAACAAGCCAAUCAGAGCAGGAAAGCAGCCCCCAAAUUAGAGAUUGAAAUGGUUUUUUUCAUGGAAAUGCAGAACCAUGAAGAACAUAACCUGCAAUUUUUUAUAAUACAAAAUUGCAGGUAUUAUAAAAAAUCCUCUUCUUUCGCUCUUCCCAAAUUAAGUAAAUCAGAAUACCAAGUGAGACUCUUCGCAAUAUUUAUGGUCGACAUAGUAGAGACAUGAAAUGGCAAUAUUUAUGGUCGACAUUCGCAAUAUUUAUGGUCGACAAGCCAUGAUUUCGUCAUCCGCCAUAAGAGAGAAGUCUAGUGGCAAGCAAAAAACAGAUGGUUGUGGGAUUCUUCUUCAUCUCGGCAGAAAGCACAACUAGGAUCAGUUUGUAGGAACUGAAGCCUAUCUCGGGUGCGAAGCUACCCCAUCACAGCCAACCACAUAAUAAAAUUAUAUCUGGGCAUAAACCAAGGCUCCUAGACCACCUUUGCCCAAGAAAUUGGAGUACCUUUAAGCCGCAGGAAGUUAUAAGCAUUAGCUAGGAAAGGAUGGUCUACACUGCUCCAAGUUGUUAGAAAACGUGUUUAUAACUGCUGUUGGUGGAGUCAUAAACAUUGUUUAGUGGUUUGAAAUAUUUCAAACCUGUUCUUAUUUCUUUGUUUUCAGUUAUUUCUUUGUUAUCUAUGAUUUGAUCAUGGCGUAAUCUUAGGACCAUGAUGUUAGUGGGUUGUUAUUAAACAAGCUUUAAAUUGUAAUGCUACAGACGUUAAUUGUAUUCAAUUUUUCAGCUUCAAAAUCGAUUGCUCUCAUUUUCUAUUUUUUCUUAACUACAACAAUACUCUGUUUUUUCUUUCUUUAUUUUAAAACAAUUACAAUUGGUAUCAGAGCUAUCUUCUUAUAAGGACAUGUGUGUGAGUUUGAUAUAUCAUAGAAGCUGAAGCUAGUUUCUCAUCAAUUGCUCCGCUGGUGUUUGAUGCAGACAACUCCCAGAUUUGGACAGUACACAUUGUUGUUACUUAUUUUUGGAUUCUCAUACAAAAAUAAAAAAAUAAUCGGAAGAAAUCCAAAAAACUAAUAGAAGCAAGAAAAGGAGACGUGGUGUUGCAAUUAUGAUUUUUUUUAUAGGGAAAGAAUGAUUCAUCAAAGACCACAUGGAGAGAAAAAACAUUUGUUUUUGCUGGAAGCUUGAAAACAUUUGUAUCCUUUUUUGUUUAUCAUUGUAUCCUACAAAGAUAUAAAGGACUGUUUUUUGAUAAAUUUAUGUUGUCUUGUAUCUUAGGUGUAAGGGAAGCUUUUUAGACCCAAAGACUUGAGGAGAUGAAUAAUAAGGAAGAGUUUCGUGCAAUGUAAAGUAUGGAGAUUCAGAAUUAAGAGCGGAUGAAUGCAAUCUAUUAAUAAGGAAGACAACUGUGGUAAAGCUUUUAUCCAUAAAAAGAAUACCUCUGUGAAAUAACAGUCAUACCUGUGGAAAUGAAGUGUGAUGAAAGUUUAAAGCUGAUGUAUUUUCCUUCUCCAUCAGAGUGAAAUCCUUGAUCUGUAGUUUAAAGCUUAUGUAUUUUUUUCAUUAAAAUAUUAUCCUCAGAUAUAAAUAAGAUGGAUCCAGGAUUCAACAUUAAAGGGCUAAAAUGAAGAUUUAAUAUUCUACAGGGAUUAUUAUGUACAAAUAAUUCAUCUUUUAGAAAUAAUUUUAAAGUUAAGGGACUUUCCUAGAUCCGCCCUUGCCAGGCUUGAAUCUAGAGAGCAUGUAGAAUUAAGUCCCUUAAUUAUAGCCAUUGUCUUGUGCAUCUGGGUAGACAAGGCAAGAGACUUAGAGAGAGAGAGAAGGGGGGAGAGAGAGAGGUGCUGCAAUAUAUAUAGGAAGAGGCUCGCUGCUUGGGACUCUAUUUACAGACACAGUCCUCUGAUCUCCGUCCUCAGGUCAGCACUAACUUGUUCUGCUCUUUGAAAUGUUUAGUUUUUCGAAAAUGUUUAGUUUUGGAUUUGGUUUAAGCUCUGCAGACAAUAGGUGCUUCCAUUUUUUAAAGUUGGUUUGCUUAAUUAUGUUUAGUUAAUUUUCCAGCAUAUAUAAAACAUUUAGAUUUUGUUGUUAAUUUCAUUGAACCUGCUGUGAAAUGAUCAGAGGUUCGACUUUAGAUUUAUAUGGGUAUUAAGAUAGCUAUAGAGCAAGACUUGAUUAGCGGUGGUCAACAAGUGAUUAUCGGUAUCAAUACCCUUUGCAGUCACUUUAAUUACCCAUACUAAUUUAUUUAGGAGAACUAGCUACAUAUCUAAUAAAAAUGACCAACAGUAUUACAAAAGAAAUAAAACAAAAAAAAAUUAGAAAAAAAAAUCAGAUUGUACCCAAACAAGGAACAAUAAGUAUUAUUUUUUAAAAAAAAACUAGUAAUAAUGUCUUUAAGUGAUUUGUUGAUUAAGUUUCAUCUUGGCAUCUCAAAGUCAUCAAAUGCUUUAUUAAAAACAUUGUGUCGUAAUUGUAUCUAUAAAUUUUCAUGUCAUAGCAUUGAUCAAAACUAGAUAGAUCACCUAAUACUAUUUUUGGGAAGCUAAUAUUUUUUUUAUAUUUGUUCCCCAUAUAAAUUUAAACAACAUUAAAUAUUAAAAACUCCUAACAAAUUAGGCUGAACCCCUCUCUCUUCAUAUUGGGUUAAUGAUCCCACAUGGACCAAACUAAACAUAAAAUAGGUUGUCUAAAAAACGAGGGAAACCACCUAAACAUUUUCUAGCAUGCAUUUUUCUAUAAAUGUGAUGUCUUAAAUUUUGAUGUUAAUGUCACUGGACUUGUAAUUGAAUUGGAGAUUAAACUUAAAUUAUUAAGUUAUUUUAUAUAACAAAUGUUAUGCUUUUAUUUAAAUAUAUAUUGUUGUAAUAAAGAUAACAAACAAGUAAAUAUUAGAUAUAAUAUGAAUUACAUAAAGAUAUCUAAGUGAUGAAGCAAGUCAUCUUAAUGGAUUUAUCUUUUCCUGUGUAAUGGGAGGGUAUGUAGUUUCAUUUAUAUAUAUAUAUAUUAUAUAUAAGAAAUAAAUAGAUCCGGUCUGGUUUGUAAGAAUUUAAGCAAUUGAAUAGGAAAACCAGUUUUUCAAGUGAAUCGAAUUACUGUUAUGAAAUACUUGACAACGAAGGAAUUUAAGCAAUUGAAAAGGAAAAACCAGUUUUGUAAUAGAAUUUAAUUUUUUAAUAAUGCAUCUGUCUUGUAAAGGAAUAAACGACAACGAAGAAAUGCACAAUCUUUCCCUCUCACUAUCAAUUUUUCCAUCAACUUUAAAGGACGCUUGGAAAUUUUGUCUGCAGGUGAGUGUGAACCAGCUAAGGCUGCAUCCAAAUAUAAUUAUAAGAUAAACAAACAUCGUUUCCAUUAUGGGGCCUUCCUCCAUGCAUUUGAAAUUUUUAACUUCACAUGCUCAGUGGGUUGAUCGGUGGGUUUUUUUAUAUAUAUAAAGACUAUCUGCAGAUAGAAAAAAAGAUGGAUCCAGGAUUUAAUAUUAAAGGGCUAAAAUGAAGAUUUGAUAAUUUUACAGGGAUUAUUAUGUUCAAAUAUACUUGACCUCUUAGAAAUCAUUUUAAAGUUCACAUUUAUAUAUUUAUAGCCAUUUUCAUAUGCAUGCAGGUAGACAAGAGACUUAGGACCUGUUUGGAACGCGGUUUUAAACGAUUUGACUGGAAAAGGAUAAAUUUACUGCAAGGGCUUCAAACAUGAAAAACGAUGUUGAACAGGCAAGGGCAUCAAACAUGGAAGACGAUGAGUCAAGUGCUCCAAACAAGGGAAAAGUUAUUGAUGUAGGAAGUGAUUCAGACAUUGAUAAGGAUAUUAACAGCUUAAGUGCUUCAAACAAAGGAAAGGAUACAGCAAGUACCUCAAGUAUUUCAAACCCGGAACUCAAAAUUGAGAUGACUAGCAGGAUUUUGGAACAGCUGCAUGAUAAGAUGGAAGGGAUGACCUCUCAACAGGACCGGGCUGAUUGCUGUAUAUACAGGGUACCCAAAUCGCUUCGAGGCGUAAAUUGGAAGCCUACAC
rnacentral:lncRNA from 1 species